rnacentral:rRNA from 1 species
UUGCAGGCUGCAACUCGCCUGCAUGAAGCUGGAAUUGCUAGUAAUCGCGGAUCAGCAAGCCGCGGUGAAUACGUUCCCGGGCCUUGUACACACCGCCCGUCACACCAUGAGAGUCGGGAACACCCGAAGUCCGUAGUCUAACCGCAAGGGGGGCGCGGCCGAAGGUGGGUCCGGUAAUUGGGGUGAAGUCGUAACAAGGUAUC